UAUUGAUUGUUCAAAAUGCGCCAGGAUUUGUUUACGUUGGUCUCUUAGCAACAAUAUUGUGUCCACAUUUAUUUAAUAACACUGUUGAUGUUAUUAAUCUGAUGGUAAAAUGGAUCUGGACUGUAAAGGUUCAGAUUUCUGGUUGGAGCUUCAUCUUCAUCUUCAUCUUCUCUCUGGCUGAGGAAGAGGAGGGUCGGGCCCGCAGACCCGAUCAGAACCGUGAAGGUUCUGGUUUGAUGGAUCUGGCCCAGAGGUCCAGCUGAUGAAAAAAGCAGCUGCAGCAGGAAACCUCCAUGAUGAAGAAGAUGAAGAAGAUGAAGAUGAUGCUUUCCUCUGAGGAAGCGUGGAAAGUGUCGGCGCUGUAAUUACCACUUCCUGCGUGUUUAUGGCCUCAUGAUGGCGGUUUGAUCCAGAUGCUUAAUCACAGCCUGGAGAGGAAGACGAGCUGCGACACGCCGAAGAUCCCUGGGAUCAUCUUCAUCCUUUCUCCUGGCUUCAUCAUCAUCAUCACUCACUUUUAAACAUUUUAGUUUUGAGUUUAGUUUAAAGUUUUAAAGAAAAAGUUCAACCAAAGUUCAGAGAAAGACCUUGAGGAGCUUGAAGAAGAGCUGAGAGGAACGACACUGCUCAGGGUCCCUGAACGCACCGCCGGCUUUUUAAUUAACACGGCAACAAGAAUGCAGCAGCUGAGCUUCAAAGCAACGAGAACAAACAGAGCGGCAACUUCAACACGCCCUGCAGGGGGAGAAGAAAGGAGCGGCUGUUUGUUGAGGCGGAGGGCAAACAGAGAAACAACUACUUCCUGUUUCACACGUUCAACUCCGACCCGACACAAAUCCCAUCAUGCACUGCGUCGGCUCCUGGAUCUGAAUCAACGGUGGCUGGUAAACGGUUUCCUCCACCGUAAGAAAGUCUCACCAGCUGAAACCAACCAGAGUUCAGCCGAACCCAGGAGGACCAGAGGUCAAAGGUCGAUGAGCGACCGGACCGGACUCUCUGGACGGGCGGAGGCUGGCUGCCCUCCAGCUGAUCUCAGGUCGGAUUGACCUCCGUCAGGUUCUUCAUAUCUGAACCUGGAGGCAGGUGGACAUGUUGGUUCUGAUCUGGACCCAUCUGGUACCGACCAGCAGGAAGUCGGUGAAAGGUCACGGAGCGAUGAAGAUGAAGCUCUUCCUCUUCCUCACUUCGCUCCAGUCAGGAGGACUGAGAGCCUGCAGGCCUCUGAUCUACAGAGUGUGUGUGUGUGUGUGGGUGUGUGUGUGUGUGGGGGGGUUCCUCCAGGUCCGAGGAAAAGGCUGAAUUCCUGAAAUGACUCGAGCCGAAGACGAGGAAGACGAGGAGGAGGAGGAGGAGGAGGAAGGAAGGAGUCGCCUUGACCUCCAGCUGGAGACGCCAAGGUCACCGAGAUAAACCGGGUUUCUGGGUCAGAGUUCUGUUUCUAACGGCAACAGAACCACAUCUACUGCUGGACUUCUGGUCUGAACCCCAGGACCGACUCAGAACCAAAACCAGAACCAAUCAGAACCAGGAUCAACCAGAACCAGAACCAGAACCAGGACCAGAACCAGAACCAGGACCAAUCAGAAUCAGACCCAGAACCAACGAGAACCAAUCAGAAUCAGAACUGUCCUAGAAGUUACUGCAAUAAACAUUGAUGUUGUUUCUCCCAGUA